AUUGAACGCUGGCGGCAGGCCUAACACAUGCAAGUCGAGCGGAUGAAGGGAGCUUGCUCCUGGAUUCAGCGGCGGACGGGUGAGUAAUGCCUAGGAAUCUGCCUGGUAGUGGGGGAUAACGUCCGGAAACGGGCGCUAAUACCGCAUACGUCCUGAGGGAGAAAGUGGUGGAUCUUCGGACCUCACGCUAUCAGAUGAGCCUAGGUCGGAUUAGCUAGUUGGUGGGGUAAAGGCCUACCAAGGCGACGAUCCGUAACUGGUCUGAGAGGAUGAUCAGUCACACUGGAACUGAGACACGGUCCAGACUCCUACGGGAGGCAGCAGUGGGGAAUAUUGGACAAUGGGCGAAAGCCUGAUCCAGCCAUGCCGCGUGUGUGAAGAAGGUCUUCGGAUUGUAAAGCACUUUUAGUUGGGAGGAAGGGCAGUAAGUUAAUACCUUGCUGUUUAGACGUUACCAACAGAAUAAGCACCGGCUAACUUCGUG
rnacentral:rRNA from 1 species